GAUGAACGCUGGCGGCGUGCCUAAUACAUGCAAGUCGAGCGAAGCGGGGACGGGUGAGUAACACGUGGAUAACAUCCUAUAAGACUGGGAUAACUUCGGGAAACCGGAGCAAAACCGGAACAUUAAAGAUGGAACCGCGCUGCAUUAGCUAUUUGGUAAGGUAACGGCUUACCCAGGCAACGAUGCAUAGCCGACCUGAGAGGGUGUUCGGCCAACCUGUAAUGUAGACACGGUCCAGACUCCUACGGGUGGCAGCAGUAGGGAAUCUUCCGCAAUGGGCGAAAGCCUGACGGAGCAACGCCGCGUGAGUGAUGAAGGUCUUCGGAGCGUAAAACUCUGUUAUUAGGGAAUCGGUACCUAAUCAGAAAGACACGGCUAACUACGUGCCAGCAGCCGCGGUAAUAC
rnacentral:rRNA from 1 species